GACGAACGCUGGCGGCGUGCUUAACACAUGCAAGUCGAACGGAAAGGCCCUGCUUUUGUGGGGUGCUCGAGUGGCGAACGGGUGAGUAAUACGUGAGUAACCUGCCCUUGACUUUGGGAUAACUUCAGGAAACUGGGGCUAAUACCGGAUAGGAGCUCCUGCUGCAUGGUGGGGGUUGGAAAGUUUCGGCGGUUGGGGAUGGACUCGCGGCUUAUCAGCUUGUUGGUGGGGUAGUGGCUUACCAAGGCUUUGACGGGUAGCCGGCCUGAGAGGGUGACCGGCCACAUUGGGACUGAGAUACGGCCCAGACUCCUACGGGAGGCAGCAGUGGGGAAUAUUGCACAAUGGGCGGGAGCCUGAUGCAGCAACGCCGCGUGCGGGAUGACGGCCUUCGGGUUGUAAACCGCUUUCGCCUGUGACGAAGCGUGAGUGACGGUAAUGGGUAAAGAAGCACCGGCUAACUACGUG
rnacentral:rRNA from 1 species